UCUGAAAAGACAGUGAUGCCUGAUUUCCAAGCACAUAGCUGACUUGCAUAUGCAGGCACUUUUGAGUCAGAGUCUUUUCAGU
rfam:Pelodiscus sinensis unplaced genomic scaffold scaffold264, whole genome shotgun sequence.